GUGAGACUCACAAUGGUUGAAUAUGCCUCUUAAGUCCUAUUACUACAGAAGAAUUUCAUGGUUCCCUAUAGAGGAAUUUUAAUCCAGCAACAUGGCUGCUCCGGCAAGGAAUCAUACCCAAAGAUAUGAUUCUGCCAGCAUGAAGAUCCUCUCUGGAUUACAAUAAGAUACAGCCAAAAUACAGGCAUGCACUUAGUACACACCUUUAAUAUAGGAAAAUGGUUUGUUACAUUUGCAUCUAAUGCUGUAUUCCGAGGCUCUUCCUGACAUCUCUCUCUGACUUCAACUUAAAGAAAUUUUCAACUUGUCUUUGGAAACCUUUAUAAAUUCAAGAGUUACUUUAUGUACUUAGAGAUUUUGCUUGCUCAGCCAAAUGUUAUUAAAAAAUAAUAUUUUAUAGCUAAAACAAUAAACAGAAUAAAAUCUCACCUGGAUCUUAAAGCAGGAAGACAUGCCUUUAGUCCAGAUCAUAUGACCUAGGAAAAGACACUUCUCUCAUCCUGAUGUUGAGUUGGGAAGGCACAGCUAUACUCCAGAUCAUCUGAGUUUGGACAACCCACAUCUAAAUGGGCCACACUUUCUUCUGGAAGCCUGUAUAAGAGCAGAAAAGAAGGAUACCUUUGCCUAUUUACCCCACCUUGCUAGUAAGUUCAUUUCUUCAGUUACUUUAGAACCUAUUUCUUCAGAAUUCCAGAGUACACCAAAGAUCAAAUGAGACAGCCAGCCUUAUGAACUGAGAAAUUACUUGAUUUUUAGGCCUUCCAUUGGAUUAGCUAGACUGCAGCCUGUAAGUCAUUCCAAUAAAUCCCCCUUGUAUAUGCUUGGUCCAGGGAGUUGUACUGCUAGGAGACACGGCCUUGUUGAACGAAGUGUUUCACUGUGUUGGUAGGCUUGGAGACCCACCUCCUAGUUGCCUGGUAGAUAGUAGUCUGCUCCUGGAUUCCUUUGGAAGAAGAUGUAGAACUCUUAGCUCCUCUAGUGCCAUGGCUGCCUGGAUCUUGCAGUGUUCCUACCUUAAUGAUAAUGGACUGAACCUCUCAACCUGUAAGCCAAUCCCAAU